GACGAACGCUGGCGGCGUGCUUAACACAUGCAAGUCGAACGGAAAGGCCCUGCUUUUGUGGGGUGCUCGAGUGGCGAACGGGUGAGUAACACGUGAGUAACCUGCCCUUGACUUUGGGAGGACUUCAGGAAACUGGGGCUAAUACCGGAUAGGAGCUCCUGCUGCAUGGUGGGGGUUGGAAAGUUUCGGCGGUUGGGGAUGGACUCGCGGCUUAUCAGCUUGUUGGUGGGGUAGUGGCUUAGCAAGGCCUUGACGGGUAGCCGGCGUGAGAGGGUGACCGGCAACAUUGGGACUGGGAUACGGCCCAGACUCCUACGCGAGGCAGCAGUGGGGAAGAGUGCAAAAUGGGCGGAAGCCUGAGGCAGCAACGCCGCGUGCGGGAUGACGGCCUACGGGUUGUAAACCGAUUUCGCCUGUGACGGAGAGGGUAUGACGGUAACGGGUAAAGAAGCACCGGCUAACUACGUG
rnacentral:rRNA from 1 species